GCCCCCAUAGCUCAGUUGGUAGAGCGCGGCACUAGUAUCUGAUCACGUGAUCUGAAAUGCCGAGGUCUACGGUUCAACUCCGUAUGUGGGCA
rfam:Pseudogymnoascus sp. 05NY08 unplaced genomic scaffold scaffold_103, whole genome shotgun sequence.